AUGAACGCUGGCGGCGUGGAUAAGGCAUGCAAGUCAAACGGGUUGUGUAGCAAUACAUGAUCAGUGGCAGACGAGGUAGUAAUAAGUAGGUAUCAACCCCAAAGUCAGGGAUACCUCAUCGAAAGAUGAGUUAAUACUUGAUGGUCUCUUCGGAGUAAAGAUUGCUUUUUAAGUUAUUUGCUUUGGGAUGAGCCUGCUCGGUAUCAGCUAGUUGGUGAGGUAAAAGCUCACCAAGGCUAUGACGCCUAGGGGACCUGAGAGGGUGACCCCCACCGAUGGAACUGAGAUACGGUCCAUACACCUACGGGUGGCCGCAGUCGAGAAUCUUCCGCAAUGGGCGAAAGCCUGACGGAGCGACGCCGCGUGAACGAUGAAGUGCUUCGGCAUGUAAAGUUCUUUUGCCAGGGAGAAAGUUUAUUGAUAGUACUUGGCGAAUAAGAGGUUGCUAAACUCGU
rnacentral:rRNA from 1 species